GAGAGCCGGAUGCGGUGAAAGUCGCACGUCCGGUUCGGUGAGCGGCUCGGGGAAACGGGGCCGGGGAAACCCGGCCACCGCGC
rnacentral:ncRNA from 1 species